UACAGUGCGGUGUAGUGGUUUGAACCCUGGACUAUGACUCUGGAGACCUGGGUUCGAUUCCCAGCUCAGCCA